rnacentral:rRNA from 1 species
AGAGUUUGAUCCUGGCUCAGAUUGAACGCUGGCGGCAGGCCUAACACAUGCAAGUCGAGCGGUAGAGAGGUGCUUGCACCUCUUGAGAGCGGCGGACGGGUGAGUAAAGCCUAGGAAUCUGCCUGGUAGUGGGGGAUAACGCUCGGAAACGGACGCUAAUACCGCAUACGUCCUACGGGAGAAAGCAGGGGACCUUCGGGCCUUGCGCUAUCAGAUGAGCCUAGGUCGGAUUAGCUAGUUGGUGAGGUAAUGGCUCACCAAGGCGACGAUCCGUAACUGGUCUGAGAGGAUGAUCAGUCACACUGGAACUGAGACACGGUCCAGACUCCUACGGGAGGCAGCAGUGGGGAAUAUUGGACAAUGGGCGAAAGCCUGAUCCAGCCAUGCCGCGUGUGUGAAGAAGGUCUUCGGAUUGUAAAGCACUUUAAGUUGGGAGGAAGGGCAUUAACCUAAUACGUUAGUGUUUUGACGUUACCGACAGAAUAAGCACCGGCUAACUCUGUGCCAGCAGCCGCGGUAAUACAGAGGGUGC